rnacentral:lncRNA from 1 species
CCUCCGGUGAGCUUAUUUUGUCUCUUCUACGUUUUUCUUUUGGCUUGGUCCUCCCAAACUUAGCUAGUCAACAUGGCAAUGGACGUGGUGUAAUGGUGGAUUGCGGCAUUUAUAGCUGAAAAGAGGUUGCUCAAGUGAUUCAUGACAGACUUUGAUAUUCAUAGUACUAUUCCAAAUUCUUGAAAUAAUUAUCACACCUCUACGGUAAAUUUCGAAAUCUACCAUAAGAAAGCAGUCAGCUCCGCAGCAGUACUAUAAACAUGUCAAAGAAUUGGACGUAUUUAUGUAGGAUAGGGUUGUGCAAAGAGCAGGUCGGAUC